rnacentral:rRNA from 1 species
AUUGAACGCGGGCGGCAGGCCUAACACAUGCAAGUCGAGCGAGCGGCGGACGGGUGAGUAAUGUAUGGGGGCUGCACGAGAGAGGGGGAUAACUACUGGAAACGGUGGCUAAUACCGCAUACUAUCGGAUAACCCAUAUGGGAUUAGCUAGUAGGUGGGGUAAAGGCUCACCUAGGCGACGAUCUCUAGCGGGUCUGAGAGGCAGAUCAGCCACACUGGGACUGGGACACGGCCCUGACUCCUACGGAGGCAGCAUUGGGGAAUAUUGCACAAUGGGCGCCAGCCUGCUGCAGCCAUGCCGUGUUCAUGAACGUGGCCUUAGUGUUGUAAAGUACUUUCAGCGGGGAGGCGUUAUUCGCAGAAGAAGCACCGGCUAACUUCGUGCCAGCCGCCGCGGUAAUAC